rnacentral:tRNA from 1 species
GCGGAUGUAGCCAAGUGGAUUAA